GAUGAACGCUGGCGGCGUGCCUAAUACAUGCAAGUCGAGCGAACAGACGAGGAGCUUGCUCCUCUGACGUUAGCGGCGGACGGGUGAUUAACACGUGGAUAACCUACCUAUAAGACUGUGAUAACUUCGGGAAACCGUAGCUAAUACCGGAUAAUAUAUUGAACCGCAUUGUUCAAUAGUGAAAGACGGUUUUGCUGUCACUUAUAGAUGGAUCCUCGCCGCAUUAUCUAGUUGGUAAGGUAACGGCUUACCAAGGCAACGAUGCGUAGCCGACCUGAGAGGGUGAUCGGCCACCCUGGAACUGAGACACGGUCAAGACUCCUACGGGAGGCAGCAGUAGGGAAUCUUACGCAAUGGGCGAAAGCCUGACGGAGCAACGCCGCGUGAGUGAUGAAGGUCUUCGGAUCGUAAAACUCUGUUAUUAGGGAAGAACAAAUGUGUAAGUAACUAUGCACGUAUUGACGGUACCUAAUCAGAAAGCCACGGCUAACUACGUG
rnacentral:rRNA from 1 species